CCCAAAGUCCACAUUUUCCAGCCCCAAAUAUUCCCUGUUAGUUGCUCCACAUGAACAGACAGAAAAGGGGGAAUUUUGAACCCCCAUUUUUUUCUUAAAAGUCAAUAGGAAAAAACCACAUUUUGGGAGUUAAUGUCCUUGUGGGAUCCAAUGCUGGAACUUUGUGGCUCCAAAGAGUCAGAAUGAUGGGAAUGGCACUUCCAGAGGUGCCAAAACCCCCCAAAAUCCCAAAUAUUCCCAAGAAAACUAUGGUUUCAGCUUGAGCCAGGGGUGCAGGAUGGUGACGAUGGAGAGCAGGGAUGAGCUGAGCCCACAGAACCCCACAUUUUCCAACCCCAAAUCCACAUUUUCCAGCCCCAAAAUCCCACAUUUUCCAGCCCCAAAUAUUCCCAUUAGCUGGAUCCAUAUGAAAGGCUCUUCCCAGACAGAAAGGGGGAACAUUAAACCCCCAUUUUUUCCCUAUAAUUGCUCGAAAAGUCAAUGGGAAAAACCACAUUUUGAGAGUUCAUGUCCUUGUGGGAUCCAAUGCUGUCACUCCAAAGAGUCAGGAAUGAAGGGAAUGGCACCAACCAGUCACUUCCAGAGGUGCCAAAACUCCCCAAAAUCCCUCAAAAAUCCCCAGAAAACUACGGUUUCAGCUUGAGCCAGGGGUGCAGGAUGGUGAUGAUGGAGAGCAGCGACGAGCUGAGCCCACACAACCCCACAUUUUCCAGCCCCAAAAUCCCACAUUUUUCAACCUCAAAUAUUCCCUGUUAGUCGGUCCAUAUGAAAGGCUCUUCCCAGACAGAAAGGGGGAAUGUUUAACCCCUAUUUUUUUCCCUAAAAUCCCUGGAAAAGUCAAUAGGAAAAAACCACAUUUUGGGAGUUGAUGUCCUUUGU
rnacentral:lncRNA from 1 species